CCUACGGGCGGCAGCAGUGGGGAAUAUUGGGCAAUGGGCGCAAGCCUGACCCAGCAACGCCGCGUGAAGGAAGAAGGCUUUCGGGUUGUAAACUUCUUUUCUCAGGGACGAAGCAAGUGACGGUACCUGAGGAAUAAGCCACGGCUAACUACGUGCCAGCAGCCGCGGUAAUACGUAGGUGGCAAGCGUUAUCCGGAUUUAUUGGGUGUAAAGGGCGUGUAGGCGGGACUGCAAGUCAGAUGGGAAAACCACGGGCUCAACCUGUGGCCUGCAUUUGAAACUGUAGGUCCUGAGUACUGGGGAGGCGGACGGAAAUUCUGGUGUAGCGGUGAAAUGCGUAGAUAUUAGGAGGAACACCAGUGGCGAAGGCGGUCUGCUGGACAGCAACUGACGCUGAGGCGCGAAAGCGUGGGGAGCAAACAGGAUUAGAUACCCCUGUAGUC
rnacentral:rRNA from 1 species